rnacentral:rRNA from 1 species
GAUGAACGCUGGCGGCGUGCCUAAUACAUGCAAGUCGAGCGAACGGACGAGAAGCUUGCUUCUCUGAUGUUAGCGGCGGACGGGUGAGUAACACGUGGAUAACCUACCUAUAAGACUGGGAUAACUUCGGGAAACCGGAGCUAAUACCGGAUAAUAUUUUGAACCGCAUGGUUCAAAAGUGAAAGACGGUCUUGCUGUCACUUAUAGAUGGAUCCGCGCUGCAUUAGCUAGUUGGUAAGGUAACGGCUUACCAAGGCAACGAUGCAUAGCCGACCUGAGAGGGUGAUCGGCCACACUGGAACGGGGACACGGUCCAGACUCCUACGGGAGGCAGCAGUCGGGAAUCUUCCGCAAUGGGCGGAAGCCUGACGGAGCAACGCCGCGUGAGUGAUGAAGAUCUUCGGAGCGUAAAACUCUGUUAUUAGGGAAGAACAUAUGUGUAAGUAACUGUGCACAUCUUGACGGUACCUAAUCAAGAAGCCACGGCUAACUACGUG